rnacentral:rRNA from 1 species
AGAGCGAACGCUGGCGGCAGGCCUAACACAUGCAAGUCGAACGGAUCCUUCGGGAUUAGUAGCGGACGGGUGAGUAACACGUGGGAACGUGCCCUUUGGUUCGGAACAACUCAGGGAAACUUGAGCUAAUACCGGAUAAGCCUUUCGAGGGAAAGAUUUAUCGCCAUUGGAGCGGCCCGCGUAGGAUUAGCUAGUUGGUGAGGUAAAAGCUCACCAAGGCGACGAUCCGUAACUGGUCUGAGAGGAUGAUCAGUCACACUGGAACUGAGACACGGUCCAGACUCCUACGGGAGGCAGCAGUGGGGAAUAUUGGACAAUGGGCGAAAGCCUGAUCCAGCCAUGCCGCGUGUGUGAAG